GUACACUCCUACGGGAGGCAGCAGUGGGGAAUUUUGAACAAUGGGCGAAAGCCUGAUCCAGCAAUGCCGCGUGUGUGAAGAAGGCCUUCGGGUUGUAAAGCACUUUUGUCCGGAAAGAAAUCCUUGGCUCUAAUACAGUCGGGGGAUGACGGUACCGGAAGAAUAAGCACCGGCUAACUACGUGCCAGCAGCCGCGGUAAUACGUAGGGUGCGAGCGUUAAUCGGAAUUACUGGGCGUAAAGCGUGCGCAGGCGGUUUGCUAAGACCGAUGUGAAAUCCCCGGGCUCAACCUGGGAACUGCAUUGGUGACUGGCAGGCUAGAGUAUGGCAGAGGGGGGUAGAAUUCCACGUGUAGCAGUGAAAUGCGUAGAGAUGUGGAGGAAUACCGAUGGCGAAGGCAGCCCCCUGGGCCAAUACUGACGCUCAUGCACGAAAGCGUGGGGAGCAAACAGGAUUAGAUACCCCAGUAGUCCCAUGA
rnacentral:rRNA from 1 species